GAAAUACUGAUUUUGGGAGUGAAGAAGAGGAGUUAGCAGGGUGAAUCUCCAGGAAAUUCCAAGUGAUUUGGCUUUCUGUACUUCCAAAGCAUUCGGCAGCUCCAGUGGAGGAAAUUUCAGACGGCUGCUAUGAUGGCAUUGACCUGUGUUUGAUAGGGUUAGACAGCAUUUGGCUGAUCACUGGCCUACUAAGCUAGAGAACUGAAGCAUGAGGCAAAUGAAAAAAUAUGAAGUUCAUAAUCUAUGGAGACCUGCAUGUGUACAGCCAUAAAAGCCACAACUGCCAGCUCAGGUGGAAAAAUGUUGA